UAGCGGAGUCCAGUUCCCCGGGCCCCAUUGCAGUUGCGUGCGGGCGCUUUGCAGUGGGGCCUUGGCAUUCUGUCUGGCUGUGUGAUCUGUGCUCUUGUUGCAGGGCGAGGGCUGCAGCGGAGAGCUUUGCCGAGAGGAUUGGCUGGAGCAGGUGUGCGGUUUCCCCAGCAGUGGGAUGAAGGAGGUGAGAGAGGGGGACCCCCAGGCGCGCCCCCUUGGAGGUGGUUUGUGGAGGUCUCUGUGCAGGUUCAGGCCGGAGGCAGGAUCCUGGUGGUGUGAGCGGGGUGCCCCUGUGGAGCAAGGGUGGAAGGUGCGUGGCAGGCCCUGUCCCGGAGGAGUGGAGUUGAUGGAGCGUGGCCCUUUGAUGCUGGAGUGAGGGGUCCUGGUGGGGCUGAAGUCCUGCGUGGAAGAGGGAGAUCCCAGGCGCUGCGAUGCGGAGGAGGAGCGGAGCCAGUGGUGGCUCCUGUGUGGUGAUGGCUGCUUAGUGGUGGUGUUCCUGGUCCUGGGCUGAAAGGAGGAGGAGGAGAAAGCUUUUAGUGUGUUACUUCAAAGCUCAGAGCACCUACUCCAACAGCACCAUGCCUCAGCCUCACUUCGCUCACCAGCUGAAAUUGCUGAGGAUGUUUCCUGUGUCUGUGUUGUUGCAGCUGAAUUUCUGCAAGGCAGCCUUUCUCAGAUGCGCUGGAGGCCUGGGCUUUGUGGUUUGUGUUCCUUCAUCUGUUUGAGAAGAAAAGAUUUCCUUUUUUUAUUUUGUUUUCAAGACAAAUGAUAAAUAAAACCCUCAUCCUUAAC
rnacentral:lncRNA from 7 species